UAGGGGGUAGUAUAAGUGGUAAUACGUAAAAUUUUGAAUUUUUUGUUGGGGGUUCGAGUCCCUUUCUUCUAG
rnacentral:tRNA from 1 species